rnacentral:lncRNA from 1 species
GCAGUGUCAAUCCUAGAGGUUGUUUGGUUGUGAAGAGGGACAUCCAGCGGUUGAUGGAUGAAGGCUUGAUUCAGAUAUGACAAUAACAGCAGUAACAACGUCAGCAAUAGAUCGGUAUCGCCGUUCAUUAUAGGUUGGCGGGUCCAGUCCCGUAUGCAUCCGAUAAAGUUGUCUCAUAUCAGUACAAGGUUACUACGUUGGAAGAUGGUCAAGAGGUCCCGUUACCUACAACCAGUUCUGUUGUAAGCAUUGUUGAUGUUA